rnacentral:rRNA from 1 species
UACGUAGGGGGCAAGCGUUAUCCGGAUUUAUUGGGCAUAAAGGGCGUGUAGGUGGUCCUUUAAGUCAGGUGUUAAAUGCUUUAGCUUAACUAGAGUUUGCACUUGAAACUGGAGGACUAGAGAUCAGGAGAGGGAAGCGGAACUCACGGUGUAGCGGUGAAAUGCGUAGAUAUCGUGAGGAACACCAGUUGCGAAGGCGGCUUCCUGGACUGAAUCUGACACUGAGGCGCGAAAGCGUGGGGAGCAAACGGGAUUAGAUACCCCGGUAGUCCACGCUGUAAACGGUGUUCACUAGGUGUAGGAGGUAUCGACCCCUUCUGUGCCACAGAUAAUUCGUUAAGUGAACCGCCUGGGGAGUACGACCGCAAGGUUA